rnacentral:lncRNA from 1 species
UCAUUUUUAAUACUUUCAAGAACUAAAUAAGUUGCAUCAAAUAAUCUGAUAAGACUGCAAAUAGACUCAAAAUAAAAACUCCAAUGAGUAUCAUCUGGUCACUUCAAAGUACCAAGUUGAUUGGCACCUUUUUCUAUUUUGAUUCCUCCAUCAUUAUCAUCAUCAAUAGCUAACUUUUGUGCAAUCUCAGCUUAUUGAGCAGCUCAUAACUCAUCCCGUCACUUACAAGAA